ensembl:lncRNA
UACAUUUUGGUCAAACAGACAAGUCAAACUUAAAGAUGAUCAUAUAUGGUUAAAGAUGAUUUUAUAUGGUUAUAUAAAAAUAUAAUCAUUUUACAGGGCUCACCUUCAAGAGGCAGCCAAUCUGGUGGACAGGUAUGCUUUAUGUUCUCAACACCACUCAGCCCUGCUAGUAUUACAGGCACUCUCAGUUUACCUUCUGUAGCUUUGCUUCACAAGAAGCGUUUUUCCUCACUGCUGUCCUUCUUGCCCACAGCCUAAGUAGUAUGCUGUUUUCUUCUGACAUAUCAUUCCCAGAGGUCCAGAGUAGCCAUCUGUCUGAAUGUCAGUUGUCUUUAUCUUCAUACCCUCUUCAUCUUUGUUGCAUUUGAGACACUGAAUGGCAAACCUCAGCCAUGUCUCAUUUUUAUUUAAUAUUUAUAUUAGAAAUCAUCUUGCAGGCCUCCACUGAAAGUAAUCUUUAGUGUUUUCCAUAAUAUCUGUAGCAUGUAAGAGUUCUGUAUGUAUUCCAGCCACUUUAGCUUCUUUUAGGGAAGGGAAACAACAAAUGAUUUUUCUGUAGUGCUGCUCAGAAUUUUUUUUACUCAAAAUUUUGGUGUGAUUUUUAUUAUAAACUUAAAUAACAAUUUGGACUAAAUUAAAACAAACAAACAAAAAACCAUAAAUCAGCAAGCGCACUGUUUGCCUGAAGGGACAAUAGAACGAAAAAGAAGCUAAUUUUCAGAGGGUAUAGUGUGAGUCUGUUUUAAGUUUAUUUUCUUGCAAUGGCAAAAUAACUGUUUGACUUAAUUCAAAAUCUUUUUACAUUCAUAUAAUUUCUCGAAAGUAAGUUUGGGUUUUUUUUGUGUAAUACAGGGUGGAUGUUAUUGUCCUGGUGGGAGCCCGGGCUCUUUUGGAGGAAGCAACUACUAUGGUGGACAGGGUUCUUCUUAUUCUGGAAGCAGUCAGUAUGGAGGACAGGCAAGCAACUCCUCUUUCAAGACGUUCUUCCUACCUGUUACUUAUUAAAUGAAAAAUAUGAUGCUGUGCAUUUCCUGCCAGAACAUUUUUCAGUCAGUCAUUUUAUGCCCACUAGGUGUCUGAAAGCAGGGACUGUUAGUAACAGACAUGAAAUAGCACUGAUAAACUUUAAUGAAAAGUAACUCUAUAGAUUGCAAUUUCAGUUGUUUAACCCUGGAGUGCUAUUUUAAAUGAUAAUUUAACUAUCCAUUUUCACGUUUCAGUUUCACAUGGCUAUAGCACCAAUUCAAAAUCUAUAUUGUGUUAUUUUUCAGUCAUAUUAAUUAAUAAUAAUUUUUGCAUUUGUUUAGAUUUAAUACUCAGAAAUAUGGUGAAAACAGACCAAUAUAUAUUGCUUUGAAAAUAGAAAUUUGUGUGUGUUCCCCAUAAUAAUAAUAAUACUUUGCUCAUCUUCAGCUGCAAUUCAAAUCUCUUACUGUAAGCAGCUCCUUAUAUACCUUUUGUGGACUUAGUAGUUUGUCACAGAAUGAGAAGUUUUAUUAGCCCAAGUAGGAAUCCAUUAUAUUUGUUAACUAUCUAAUAAGAAAUUGGAAUGUAUUUUUCAUUGAUACUACUGUGAUUCCAAAGUUUCAUCCCAUUAUACUAAAAAAUAGUCCAAGUUCAUUUUUCUUCUUCAAUGCUUAUUUGAAAUAAUUAGGAAAAAAAAAUCCACACAAAGUUCUCUGAAUGCACACCUCACCUAGCAUAGAUUCACAAAUAAAAUAGAAUUUCUCUUCCCUUGCUAAGAACCAUCCAGAAGGAUGCUUUAUAUCUAGGUAUUUCUCAAAGACUACUCUUAGCAAAUCUUUUAUCACUGCCAAAUGUACUACUUUCAGCUGUUCAACAAUAUAGAAGAAUUAUGUCAGAAGUCAUUCAUUGCAUCUUCUUAGAUUAACACACUUUCCACAUCCCUGCUGUUAUCUCCAGUCACAAGGUCUUUCUGUGAUAUUUCAUUCUGUGCAGCAGAAAAGAGUAACCAUUGCUAUUCUGCAAAUACUUAAGUUUCCUCUUGUUUUGUUUUGUUGUUUUUUUUUUUACCUCUUCUUAAUAGGGAUCUUCUUACUCAGGAAGCAGCCAGUAUGGUGGGCCGGUAAGUGAAUUCUCUUCCCAUCACUCCUAAUGCUUUCUGUUUACCGUCUGAGUCAGUUAUUUGAUGUUGAAGUUUGCAUUCAUUUUCCUGAACCUUUGAGGUAAAUGGAUAUUAAAAAUUUGAUUAAAGUAGUUUGAGCAAGUUGAAUAAAGUAAUUGGUUAGAAUCAGUUGAUUACUCCUCUGUGUAAAGCAUUUCUUUCAAGCUGUGUUUCAAAACACUGCUUUCUUGAUUCAGAAUUAUAUAUUGCUGUUGUUUUGAUGUGUAGUGGAUAGCUGAAGCUUUAAGUUUCCAGUCACAUUUUGUUCAAACAGCAGUCAAAUUUGUGCUAAGUAUUGCACAUGUCUGAAUGGCCUGAAGAUGGUGACAAAAUGUUUUGUAUUCUAAUAAAAGGUGUUUUAUUUUUUUCCUACAGGGCUCAUCAUAUUCCGGAGGCCGACAACAUGGUAAACCAGUAAGUAAAAACUUGUCAUGUUUGCCUUAUAUUUUUCUCAUAAGAAAAGUAUUUAGUCAUCAUUUUACUCUGUAAGUGGACUUCUUUUGUCAUUCCCUAUAUUUCUUUUUUACUAAUUACAGAAUGAGAUUAUCGGAUCUUUAGUUUUAAUAAGACAUUACUUACAUUACUUCAGAACAGUUAUUUCAGUUUAACAGUUUAAAUUCAGCAAUCUUUGAAUUCAUUCAGCAAACUUUAUGUUCAGGGAACACUUUUUCAGUUAUUUCAUAUGCAUUUGUCUUUGUAAGUAUCCUGAAUUUCUUGGAAAAAAGUAUUUUCUUUUUGAAGGUCAUAAUAGUUGCUACUUUAUUUCAUUUAUAUUCAUAUUUUCAUUUUAAGCUUUUCAACCCUUAAUUUAGAUCUUGUCAUUGUGUGGUGAGAGAUGCAAAGAGUUAGCUUUUUGUAUAGAAAAUAAGAUAUAUCCACCUGUUGAUUAAAAAGGGGACACAACUGUUACAUUUUCUUCCACCUGAAUCACAAAGGGGAGACAUUUUGUGUACCAUAUUAGAUGGCUUUUCUUAUAAAUCAGAGGUUGUGAGAUUUUGUGUUGGCAGUUUUAUUCAAAUAAGCAAACUGUUUCACCAGAAAACUUGUUACGACUCUUGCAGAAUGUCUUUUCAGUAUUCACUUUUAUUUUUCCAGUUAGAUUCCUUUUUAGAGCUUUCUUCAAGCAGAACUGGAGCACAAUGUUAAUGCUAAAUGCCUGAGAAAACCAGAUAAUAAAUUAAAAUUGGAAAAUAUUGUUUAAACUUGAACCUUAGGAUGAAGAUGUUUUCAUUCUUCCCUCCAGCAAAGAUAUCUCUGUACUUGUCUGAAUAAAUUUGAUUGGAUAAUUUUAUUACAAAAGAUAUAUUUCAAUGUCAGGCUAACUAUUUCAGUUUCAGAUUGUGUAGUUCAGCCAGAAGGAUGCAUUGCUUUGCAAAUCCUCUGAAACUGCUAAUAGAAUUUAAAAAAAAAAANNNNNNNNNNNNNNNNNNNNNNNNNNNNNNNNNNNNNNNNNNNNNNNNNNNNNNNNNNNNNNNNNNNNNNNNNNNNNNNNNNNNNNNNNNNNNNNNNNNNAAAAUAUAAUCAUUUUACAGGGCUCACCUUCAAGAGGCAGCCAAUCUGGUGGACAGGUAUGCUUUUAUGUUCUCAACACCACUCAGCCCUGCUAGUAUUACAGGCACUCUCAGUUUACCUUCUGUAGCUUUGCUUCACAAGAAGCGUUUUUUCCUCACUGCUGUCCUUCUUGCCCACAGCCUAAGUAGUAUGCUGUUUUCUUCUGACAUAUCAUUCCCAGAGGCCCAGAGUAGCCAUCUGUCUGAAUGUCAGUUGUCUUUAUCUUCAUACCCUCUUCAUCUUUGUUGCAUUUGAGACACUGAAGGGCAAACCUCAGCCAUGUCUUAAUUUUAUCAGAUUAGAAAUUAUUUUACAGUCCUCCACUGAAAGUAAUCUUUAGUGUUUUCCAUAAUAUCUGUAGCAUGUAAGAGUUCUGUAUGUAUUCCAGCCACUUUAGCUUCUUUUAGGGGAGGGUAAUAACCAACAAUUUUUCUGUAGCACUCAAACUUUUUUAUUUGCCUUUUUGAUGAGUACAGUUCAUAAGAUAAUGAUCGUAGAUAACAAAUUUAAAGAUAAAAUCAGAAAGUUUUAUCCCAUCAGAGCAAUAAGUGCAGGAAAAGUUGCAGAGAGUGAAAAGAAAAAAAUAGAUUAUGUUCUAGAAAGCACUUGAGCAGAUAUGAAUGUAACUUUAUUGUUUGCAUAACUGGAUUUGCAGAAAUAACUUGAAUUGUAACCAGAGUCCAUUUUUGUACUGUUCUUGAGAACUUAAAAUAUUUUCUGCAUUCUUUACAGAGUGGAUGUGAUUGCUCUGGUGCAAGUUCUGUAAGUGUUAUUUGUUUAUUGUAUGUUUUUUUCAUACGUACAUAUAUGUGUAAGAGAAUAUUUAUAUGAUUUGGUAAAUUAUCUGUAGGCCUAUUUAUUUCUAAGUUAUUUAA